UACGUAGGGUGCAAGCGUUGUCCGGAAUUAUUGGGCGUAAAGAGCUCGUAGGCGGUCUGUCGCGUCUGCUGUGAAAACUCGGGGCUCAACCCCGGGCCUGCAGUGGGUACGGGCAGACUAGAGUGCGGUAGGGGAGACUGGAAUUCCUGGUGUAGCGGUGAAAUGCGCAGAUAUCAGGAGGAACACCGAUGGCGAAGGCAGGUCUCUGGGCCACUACUGACGCUGAGAAGCGAAAGCAUGGGGAGCGAACAGG
rnacentral:rRNA from 1 species